UACGAAGGGGGCUAGCGUUGUUCGGAUUUACUGGGCGUAAAGCGCACGUAGGCGGAUUGGUCAGUUAGGGGUGAAAUCCUGGAGCUCAACUCCAGAACUGCCUUUAAUACUGCCAGUCUCGAGCUCGGAAGAGGUAAGUGGAACUCCUAGUGGUAGAGGUGGAAUCCGUAGAUAUUAGGAAGAACACCAGUGGCGAAGGCGGCUUACUGGUCC
rnacentral:rRNA from 1 species